UAGUCCACGCCGUAAACGAUGAUUACUCGCUGUGUGUCCGUUAGGAUACGUGGCUGAGCGAAAGCAUUAAGUAAUCCACCUGGGAAGUACGUCGGCAACGAUGAAACUCAAAGGAAUUGACGGGGGCCCGCACAAGCGGAGGAACAUGUGGUUUAAUUCGAUGAUACGCGAGGAACCUUACCUGGGCUUAAAUGCAGAGCGACCGCCGCCGAAAGGUGGUUUUUCUUCGGAAUGGUUUGCAAGGUGCUGCAUGGCUGUCGUCAGCUCGUGCCGUGAGGUGUCGGGUUAAGUCCCAUAACGAGCGCAACCCCUAUCACUAGUUGCCAGCGGAUAACGCCGGGGACUCUAGUGAGACUGCCACCGUAAGGUGUGAGGAAGGUGGGGAUGACGUCAAGUCAGCACGGCCCUUACGUCCAGGGCUACACACGUGUUACAAUGGCCAAUACAAAGGGCAGCUACCUGGUGACAGGAUGCUAAUCUCAAAAAUUGGUACUCAGUUCGGAUCGAAGU
rnacentral:rRNA from 1 species